AUGACACUAUAUGUAGUAAUGGAAGACAAAGAAAAUUAAUAUGUUAAGCUACUAUGUAGAAGUACCUACAAAGAAUAAGAUAGAAAAUUAGGUAUAAAAAUAUACCCAUAUAAUAAUUAUAAUAUACAUUUUUAUCUGAAUUGUAACAAAUAACAAUUGAAAAAUAAUACAAACAUUAUUUUCGUACAAUUCCCGUUUUUCUUACGUUUUAUCCUGGUUUUUUCCAGAUAUUAUGAAAACCGCUUGGAAAAUCGAAA